ensembl:snRNA U6 U6 spliceosomal RNA
GUGCUCUCUUUGGCAGCACAUAUACUAAAAUUGGAACAAUACAGAGAUUAGCAUGGCCCCUGCACAAGGAUGAUGUGCAAAUUUUUGAAGUGUUCCAUAUUUUU